UACGUAGGGAGCAAGCGUUGUCCGGAAUCAUUGGGCGUAAAGCGCGCGUAGGCGGCCCGGUAAGUCCGCUGUGAAAGUCAAGGGCUCAACCCUUGGAUGCCGGUGGAUACUGCAGGGCUAGAGUCCGGAAGAGGCGAGUGGAAUCCUGGUGUAGCGGUGAAAUGCGCAGAUAUCAGGAGGAACACCUAUUGCGAAGGCAGCUCGCUGGGACGUAACUGACGCUGAGACGCGAAAGCGUGGGGAGCAAACAGG
rnacentral:rRNA from 1 species